UUCAUGUGAUUCAUGGAGCUAAGUAUGGAUCUUAACCAGUUAUUAAAGCCAUUCAGCGUUAGCUGGUUUCAGUUUAAAAUUUUGAUUGAAAAAAGUGAUCAAUAAUGAACAGCAAAUUUAGACAGGCCUCCAGUCUAGGUUCACCCAAUCGGAGUGAAAAGAGUGACUUUUCGCAACAGGAUAAACAUAGUAAAUCAUGUGCAACUAGAGUCAACAAUCACUGGAAAACCAUCGACAAUAAAAGUCAAUCCAUGUCAAAGUUCAAGAAGCCAGGCUCUGGAGUCGAGUUGGUUGACCAAGCAACCAACUACAUGUGGUAAUUUGAUUAACGGCAAUAACUUUUGCCAAAUCAAUGGCCGAGUGUUAUCACCAUUUUUCGGUGCUUUAAAUUUUUGAAUAUUACAAUCAGCAUUAAAAUGCUAAUGGAAAUGUUUUAAUAACCAUUUUACCCAGA